UACGUAGGGUGCGAGCGUUGUCCGGAAUUAUUGGGCGUAAAGAGCUCGUAGGCGGCUUGUUACGUCGGAUGUGAAAGCCCGGGGCUUAACUCCGGGUCUGCAUUCGAUACGGGCAGGCUAGAGUUCGGUAGGGGAGAUCGGAAUUCCUGGUGUAGCGGUGAAAUGCGCAGAUAUCAGGAGGAACACCGGUGGCGAAGGCGGAUCUCUGGGCCGAUACUGACGCUGAGGAGCGAAAGCGUGGGGAGCAAACAGG
rnacentral:rRNA from 1 species